CAAAGGCAGGGAGACUCUCCUGCCUGGCCGUGCUGGCUAGGGAACAGGCACGGGCAGCCGGGCACUGGCAGCCUGCCCCCGUGGGGGGUGGGGAUGAGUCUGAAGUCUGAAUGAGGAAAUCCAGAGACAGUGGGUUUUGAACAAGCGUCAUGAUGGAGGCCAAGGAGGGGCAAGCAAUGGGGGAUCAAGGACCAAGAGCGCUUUGUGAGAGACAAGGAAACAGGCUCUGAGAGAUUAAGCAACUCAUCCCACUUGCUCAACCAGCAUAUGUGGGAGACCUGACAACCCGCCCUGUGUGGCCGUUUCACAAGCCAACGCCCAGCCACAGGGGACGACUGUUCCUGGGACUGGAAGUGAUGAAGAGGAGCCAUGAUGGUUAAACUUCUUUAAAAGAAAGAAGACAAACUGGCUUUCCUUGAUGCCUUUGAACCUGAGUCCAGAAGACUUAGGGACAAUGGAUAGCUAAAAUUUAUUUAUAUCUGAAGUUGGGUGGCAGGGUGCACUCCAGAGGCAGAGGCAGAGGCAGGGGGAUCUAUCUCCGAGUCUGAGGUCAGCCUGGUCUACAGAUCGAGUUCCAAGACAGCCAGGGCUACAAAGAAAAAUCCUGCCUCAAAAAAUGGAAAAAACAAAACAAAACAAACAAAAUACAUUAAAACAAACAAACAAACAAACAAACUGGAUUUAUUCUCUGCCGCGGCUGGGAGUGGACACCUUUGUUCAGCAAAAUGAACCUUUUCCUGAUUGUGCACUUCCAGGCCCUGGGCAAGCCGACUCUAGCACUCUGCAAAACCCCACCUCCCAAAGGAGGGUUGAACUUCUUGGAACCCUUAAAAACUACCAGUGAACUUCAGGAAGUAACCCACGCAACUCUUUCCCAGAAGAGGUCAAUGGUCACAGAAUCGUAAGAAACACCACUCUGACCCCGGGACUUCCUGCCUCCACACUCGGAACAUCUCAAAGUUCAAACUGCUCAGGAACUGACAUCCGGCUGACAGACGGGGAGUGUCGCUCAGUGGUAGAGUGCUUUCCUACAUCGGGAGAGGCCCUGGCUCCUAUCUCCAACUCUGUAAAGAAAAGAUUAAUACUAUGAAACGAAAAUAAACCAGGCUUUAAAGAAAACAAAA
rnacentral:lncRNA from 1 species